GCGGCUGUAGCUCAGUGGAUAGAGUAUUGGCCUCCGAAGCCAAGGGUCGUGGGUUCGAUACCCGCCAGCCGCA
rnacentral:tRNA from 1 species